GGUCCAAAUUUGAAGUAGAGUAGAUUAUUAGUAUCAGUUGGCCCUACUAAUCUACUGUACUUCAAAUUUGGGCCC
rfam:Haemonchus contortus, ISE/inbred ISE, WGS project CAVP01000000 data, contig: Hcontortus_68